rnacentral:rRNA from 1 species
CUGUGCAAAGGUAGCAUAAUCAUUAGUUUUUUAAUUGAAAGCUGGAAUGAAGGGUCGGAUGAGAAAGAAUCUGUCUCACUUUAAUUUAUUUGAAUUUUAUUUUUAAGUUAAAAAGCUUAAAUUUUAUAGAAAGACGAGAAGACCCUAUAGAGUUUAAUAAGUUAGGGUUUAAUUAUCUAAAGAUUUUAAUGUAAUUAUUUUUUAACUUGUUUUGUUGGGGUGACAUAAGAAUUGAAUAAACUUCUAAAUAUUGAUACAUUGAUUUAUGAGUAAGUGAUCCUGAUUUUUGGAUUUUAAGAUUAAAUUACCUUAGGGAUAACAGCGUAAUCUUUUUGGAGAGUUCUAAUCGAUAAAAGGGAUUGCGACCUCGAUGUUGGAUUAAAGUUAAUUUUCGGUGUAGGAGCUGAAAUUUUGAGUCUGUUCGACUUUUAAAACU